GAUGAACGCUAGCGGGAGGCUUAACACAUGCAAGUCGAGGGGCAUCGCGGAGUAGCAAUAUUCUGGCGGCGACCGGCGCACGGGUGAGUAACGCGUAUGCAACCUACCCCGUACAGGGGGAUAACCCGGGGAAAUCCGGACUAAUACCCCAUAACGAUCGUAACGGGCAUCCGUUUCGGUCCAAAGCGGCGACGCGGUACGGGACGGGCAUGCGUAACAUUAGCUAGUUGGUGGGGCAACGGCCCACCAAGGCGACGAUGUUUAGGGGACCUGAGAGGGUGAUCCCCCGACACUGGUACUGAGACACGGACCAGACUCCUACGGGAGGCAGCAGUGAGGAAUAUUGGUCAAUGGGCGGGAGCCUGAACCAGCCAUCCCGCGUGAAGGAAGACUGCGCUAAGCGUUGUAAACUUCUUUUCAGGGGGAAGAAUUGUCCCGACGCGUCGGGGCUUGCCGGUACCCUUGGAAUAAGCAUCGGCUAACUCCGUAGC
rnacentral:rRNA from 1 species